ACAGCAUGAAAAAGGACAAUGUGAAAUACCCCAUUAUUAUGGACAUACAAAAUAAUUCAAUUUCUGGUUGUUUACAUGCUUGUUUAAAUAGGCACCCAUAUAUUUUGGGAAAAAUGAGUGUUUUUUGUAUUAGCGGAGCCAGCGCGGCCGCGCGCGGACCUCCAUAGGUAUAGAAAUAUGGUAAUCUAUGCGACUUUUGUGGUCAUCGCGCGGUUACCCUGUUGUGUCACAAAUCAUCCAGCCAGUAAUCCAGCCGCGCAGUUCUCAGGCCCCUCUCGGUCUUAUGCUUUUAUGUGUUUUUAGUUCAAAGUUCGUAUGUUCACGGGAAAAAAGGCAGCUUGAAAAUAGUAUUUAAUGAGAAAAUAUGCGGGUUCAAAUGGGCUUUGAAAAACCGGGUUCAAAUGGACUUUAAAGAACCGUUUUGUCUGAAGUACGAGCCGAUAGUAAAAUCUACCCGAGUGUUCAUGAAUCCCGCCCGUGGCAGCAGCUAAAAAGAGGACUAAGAGAGACUCUACACUACCAUUCUAUAUUCAUUCACGUCUAUAUCUAUGUAAGGAGUCCUGAGAAGAAAGGGCCUUUGAAUUAAUGUCUGUUUUCGGCUAUAAAAAUCAUUCACUGUCGACGAGUUCCUUGCUAGCAGAAAGUCGACAACUUCACAGUUAACAACAAAAGCGAACACAACCACAGUAGACAAACAGAAAGCGACAAGAAAAAAAAACAUUGCCAAGGUAAAAUCAACCAAGGACUACCUGAGGGCCAUGAUUGAUUCUAAACACUGGAAGGCAUGAGAAUAGGCAAAUGUCUUAAGGAUAAUAUAGUCGGGGAUUUCUUACUUUUAUACAACUGUAUAAGUGUAAUAUGUUUUUAGAGCAAGAUACUUGCUCUCAAUGAUAAAUCUGUAAAGAAAACUUUUUCUAUCGACCGAAAGAUAAAGAGGAAAAGGGAAAAUGUUAGGAGAGUGUUGUUGCAUUACUGUUAAUGUUUUCAUCAUAGAUAUAGUCCCAUUUCUUCCUUUUUUUCUCUCUGUUGACUAUUUUUGUAUGCAAUUGAUAAUAUUUGCUGUUUCCCCUCUGCACCCUAAAUAAAUUAAAAUAGGUUAUGUUUGAACGUAGAUAUUUUUUUUAGAAUUUGCUUCCCAACUCAAUUUGUUCUCCUCCAUUGCAUUUUAUAUUAGCAUGUGUGGAUCCAGAGUCGAUUUCCAGUUUUUGGUGUAUUGUAUUCAUUGUUCUGGUACGAGAUCGUGACAGUUUGGGCUUUUUGAUUUCAUUCUAUCUUUGGAAUGCUGUUUCAUACAUUAUUUUUUUUCUUUGCAAGGGCAAAGCUAGUCAGAUUGUAGCUUUGAAAGAUAACGACAAACUUGUGCUUUUUCAAAAAGUAAUUUUUUAAACAAAACAGUUAUAUAUCAAACC